rnacentral:rRNA from 1 species
AUUGAACGCUGGCGGCAGGCCUAACACAUGCAAGUCGAGCGGAGCGCCGGUCGGGCGAGUGCUACCUAGGAAUCUGCCUGGUAGUGGGGGAUAACGUUCGGAACCGGAAGCUAAUCCCGAAUCCUAUUAGCUGAGCCUAGGUCGGAUUAGCUAGUUGGGGAGGUAAUGGCUAACCAGGGCUACGCUCCGUAACUGGUCUGAGAGGAUGAUCAGUCACACUGGAACUGAGACACGGUCCAGACUCCUACGUGAGGCAGCAGUGGGGAAUAUUGGACAAUGGGCGAAAGCCUGAUUCAGCCAUGCCGCGUGUGUGAAGAAGGUCUUCGGAUUGUAAAGUACUUUAAGUGGGGAGGCGUUAACGACAGAAUAAGCACCGGCUAACUCCGUGCCAGCAGCCGCGGUAAUAC